ensembl:ribozyme RNase_MRP RNase MRP
GGAUGCUCUGAAGACCUGCUCGCUAGGCUAUGCACGGAGGACGCUCGUUCCUCACGGGCCUCGGCCCGCCUAGGGGAAAGUCCCCGGACCGCAGGCAGAGAGUGCCGGGCGCUGCCGCGCCCCUGCCUACCCCCAUCGUCACCAUAACACCGCCGAGACGCCCCCGGGCCGAGCGGGUGAUCGAGGGGCGGGCUCUCGUCACGGCCACAGACACGCAGGUAGUGCGCAGGCGCACCAACAGAACGGGGCUCACUCUCAGGCCAUC